GGUAAAAUGGCCGAGUAGGCAUUAGGCUGUAAAUCUAAUCACAGGGGUUUAGUCCCCUUUUUACC
rnacentral:tRNA from 1 species